GUGGGUAGCUGCGGCGGGGCUGACCCGUCCCGAGUGCCAAAGCUGGGGUUCUGCUUGAGAUUUCCCUCGUGGUGCCAGGGUCCGGCGAGCGUCACGCCGAGGCCCAUUUUCCAGACGACCACGACGACGCCGGGGUCACAUCCCUGGGACCCUGGCCUGACUGCCCGGGACCUGCUUUUCCGCGGAGGGUACCGGUAUCGGAAGCGGCCCCGAGUCGUGCUGGAUGUUACUGAGCAGCCGGUUCCUCUUGGAUCAUGGAGACGUAGCCUUUGCGCCCCUGGGGAAGCUGAUGCUGGAGAAUUUCAAGCUGGAGGGAGUGGGGAGCCGCACUAAGAAGAAGACAGUGGUCAGUGUGAAGAAGCUGCUCCAGGACCUCGGUGGACACCAGCCCUGGGGGUGUCCCUGGGCUUACCUCAGCAACCGACAGCGCCGCUUCUCUAUCCUCGGGGGCCCCAUCCUGGGCACGUCGGUGGCGAGCCACUUGGCAGAGCUGCUGCACGAGGAGCUGGUGCUGCGGUGGGAGCAGCUGCUUCUGGAUGAGGCCUGCACUGGGGGCGCGCUGGCCUGGGUUCCUGGAAGGACACCCCAGUUCGGGCAGCUGGUCUACCCUGCUGGAGGCGCCCAGGACAGGCUGCAUUUCCAAGAGGUCGUUCUGACCCCAGGUGACAAUCCCCAAUUCCUUGGGAAACCUGGACGCAUCCAGCUCCAGGGACCUGUCCGGCAAGUGGUGACAAGCACCGUCCAGGGAGAAAGUAAGGCCCUUACAUACACUUUCCUCCCUCAGUGGCUGACCUGCUACCUGACCCCUGACCCUUUCCAUCCCUCCUCAGCUCUGCUGGCCGUCCGCUCUGACUACCACUGUGCCGUGUGGAAGUUUGGUAAACAGUGGCAGCCAACCCUUCUGCAGGCAAUGCAGGUGGAGAAAGGGGCCACAGGGAUCAGCCUCAGCCCUCACCUGCCCGGGGAGCUGGCCAUCUGCAGCCGCUCAGGAGCCGUCUGCCUGUGGAGCCCUGAGGAUGGGUAUUGCCGCUUCCUGUGAAACCCCCCACCCUAACCAACUGAACUCCGCCCUGUUUAGCAUGUCACGACCCUUGAGCCCCUUCCCCAUCAGCCUGUCCCCCUGCCCAUGGCUUGCCUGUCUCCCCAAGGCUGCAGCAAAUCUACAAGGACCCUGAGACCCUCGUGUUCCGGGACUCCUCUUCGUGGCGUUGGGCAGACUUCACUGCGCACCCUCGGGUGCUGACCGUGGGCGACCGCACCGGAGUGAAGAUGCUCGACACUCAGAUGGUCACUAGAGGCUGCUGCUUACCAGCGGCUCUGCUGGGCCCAGACAACCACCCAGCAAACCAAACUCAACCCUGGAUGAAUCUGUGGCCCAAACACGCAGUGGAUCCCACAGUGGGUGCUAACAGUUCUCUCUCUACCUAGUGGACGAGCGCCUUCCCCUGGUGCCGAUGCUGAAGUGGAACCAUGGCCUCCCCUCCCCGCUCCUGCUGGCCCGACUGCUGCCUCCGCCCCGGCCCAGCUGCGUGCAGCCCCUGCUCCUCGGAGGCCAGGGUGGGCAGCUCCAGCUGCUGCACCUGGCAGAAGGGGCGUCGGUGCCCCGCCUGGCAGGCCCCCCCCAGUCUCUUCCUUCCAGGAUCGACUCCCUCCCUGCAUUUCCUCUGCUGGAGCCUAAGAUCCAGUGGCGGCUGCAGGAGCGCCUGAAAGCACCGACCAUAGGUCUGGCUGCCGUCGUCCCGCCCUUGCCCUCAGCGCCCACACCAGGCCUGGUGCUCUUCCAGCUCUCGGCGGCGGGAGAUGUCUUCUACCAGCAGCUCCGCCCCCAGGUGGACUCCAGCCUCCGCAGAGAUGCUGGGCCUCCUGGCGACACCCACCCUGACUGCCAUGCCCCCACAGCUUCCUGGACCUCCCAGGACACUGCCGGCUGCAGCCAGUGGCUGAAGGCCCUGCUAAAAGUGCCCCUGGCUCCUCCUGUGUGGACAGCACCCACCUUCCCCCACCACCAGAUGCUGGGCAGCACAGAGCUGCGGAGGGAGGAAGAGGAAGGGCAGCGGCUGGGUGUGCUCCGCAAGGCCAUGGCCCGAGGGCGGCUCCUGCUGCAGAGAGACCUGGGCUCCCUCCCUGCGGCAGAGCCACCCCCUGCACCCGAGUCAGGCCUAGAGGACAAGCUCAGUGAGCGCCUGGGGGAAGCCUGGGCAGGCCGAGGGGCUGCCUGGUGGGAGAGGCAGCAGGGCAGGACCUCGGAGCCCGGGAGACAGACCAGGCGGCCCAAGCGCCGGACCCAGCUGUCCAGCAGCUUUUCGCUCAGUGGCCAUGUGGAUCCCUCAGAGGACACCAGCCCCCCUCAUAGCCCUGAGUGGCCACCUGCUGAUGCUCUGCCCCUGCCCCCCAUGACCCCGCCCUCCCAGGAGUUGACUCCGGAUGCAUGCGCCCAGGGCGUCCCAUCAGAGCAGCGGCAGAUGCUCCGUGACUACAUGGCCAAGCUACCACCCCAGAGGGACACCCCAGGCUGUGCCACCACACCUCCCCACUCCCAGGCCUCCAGCGUCCGGGCCACUCGCUCCCAGCAGCACACACCCGUCCUCUCUAGCUCUCAGCCCCUCCGGAAGAAGCCUCGAAUGGGCUUCUGAGGACACAAGGUGGGCUGCCCUCAAGCCCCAGAGAGCCCCUCAUCCUUCCUCCGGGACCAGAUGUGCCUUCCACAGUUGAAACUUGAGAAGCAGAGCUCGCCACCUUCUGGAGGCCACUGUGAUGAUGAGCCAAGCAAUUUGGAGCCAAGUUGAAGGGACAGGGCAACAAAAUACAGUAGUAGUUUCUUUUGU
rnacentral:sRNA from 1 species